UUUUGAUUAAAUUUAUAUUGUAAAGUAAUAUCACCAAUGUCUUCUACAAGUUUGAAAAUCAAUGAGGAUCAAUUAUUUUUAAGAGAGUCAUGAAAAUGUUGAUUGUUUGCUAAAUUUCAUUGUUAGUGGUCUCAUUUGUACAAUCCUUGGAAAUAGGAAUUAUAAUGGAAAUAGCAAAGCAUUUAGUCUGGAGCCCUCAUUUCGCAAAAACAAAUUAAAUGUGUUUUUAAAGUUAUUACUCUUGUACCUUAGAUACAUAAAGUAUGUGCAAUGUGUAGGACUUUGGGACUGUGUUCUUUUGAUUUAUUUUUUUUAUAGAAUAUUUUUCUGUCAAAAUCGAAUUGAAACCAAAUUUCAUAGCCACCACCAUUUUCCUAAGUUAAAAACUAACGAGGGAAAAAAAUAGUUAUUCUGUUGGAUAAAAGGGG
rnacentral:lncRNA from 1 species